rnacentral:tRNA from 1 species
GCAGUGGUGAUUCAGGGGUAAAAUUCCCGCCUUCCAUUUGGGAAUCCUAGGUUUGACUCCCAGCCAAUGCA